rnacentral:misc_RNA from 2 species
AACGCAUCUUGCGCUCCUUGGUAUUCCGAGGAGCAUGCCUGUUUGAGUGUCAUUUAACUUAUCAACCACUUCAGAUUCUGGAUGUGGCUUGGAUGUGGGGGAAUAUCUUUGCAGGCCUUUUUUUGCAAAAGAAGGGUCAGCUCCUCUGAAAUGUAUUAGUGGCAUCUGAGCUGCUACUGUAGGUGUGAUAACUAUCUAUGCCUUUGGUAUGCUGCAUGAGACAGAUUGCGCUGCUUAAAACUUGGAAAAAAACCUUUGACAAACUUGACCUCAAAUCAGGUAGGACUACCCGCUGAACUUAA